GCUAAAACUUAGUCCAACCAACAUACAAAAAUACACUAUAUAACAAAACAAACCAUUUGACAAACCAAGUAGAUGCGAUCGAACAUUAAACCAGGCACAAUAGCUAAAGUACCGCAAGGGAACAACAAGUAAAGCAAAAAACAGCAGAGAUUAAACCUCGUACCUUUUGCAUCAUGGUUUAGCAAGCAAACCGGACAAGACGAACCAAAGCCCCAGACCCCGAAACCAAGUGAGCUACUUUAAAGCAGCCAACCAGGGCGAACCCGUCUCUGUAGCAAAAGAGUGGGAAGACUUAAAAGUAGAGGCGAAACACCUACCGAACUUGGAGAUAGCUGGUUACCCAAAAAAGAACCUAAGUUCAACUUUAGACUAAAAUAAGCCACAAUUAGCCCUCUAAAGAAAUUCAAUAGGGGUACAGCUCUAUUGAAACAGGAUACAACCUGACAUUGUGAGUAAAACAACCACCAAACACAAGUAGGCCUUAAAGCAGCCACCUUAAAAAAUAUCGUUAAAGAAUUACAAAAAAAAUACCAAAAUUAACCAAUAACUCCAACCAAACUAAAGGGUUAACCUAUAAAUAUAGAUGAACUUAUGCUAAAACUAAUAAUAAGAAACCCUCUCUAAGCACAACCAUACGUUAGAAACAGAAACCCUACUAACAAUUAACAGACCACAAGAGGACACAUAAAAACACAAUUCACAACCUAUUUACAAACUGUUACACCGACACAGGAGUGCAAAAAAGAAAGAUAAAAAGUUACAAAAGGAACUCGGCAACCAAUGGCUCCAACUGUUUACCAAAAACAUAACCUUUAGCCAAAACAGUAUUAAAGGCGAUGCCUGCCCAGUGAAACAUUUAAACGGCCGCGGUACCCUAACCGUGCAAAGGUAGCGUAAUCAUUUGUCUAUUAAUUGUAGACCAGUAUGAAAGGCCACAUGAGAGCCAAACUGUCUCUUGUAACCAAUCAAUUAAACUGAUCUUCUAGUACAAAAGCUAGAAUAACCAUAUAAGACCAGAAGACCCUGUGAAGCUUAAACUAACCUACUAAACAAACUAGUAGCUACUUUCGGUUGGGGCGACCUUGGAACAAAGCAAAACUUCCAAACACAAUGAGCCAUCCCUCAUAACUACUAGGCAAACAAGCCAACAUAUGACCCAGUAACACUGAUAACUGAACCAAGUUACUCCAGGGAUAACAGCGCUAUCUUCUUCAAGAGCCCUUAUCAAAAAGAAGGUUUACGACCUCGAUGUUGGAUCAGGACACCCAGGUGGUGCAGCCGCUACCAAAGGUUCGUUUGUUCAACGAUUAACAGUCCUACGUGAUCUGAGUUCAGACCGGAGCAAUCCAGGUCAGUUUCUAUCUAUAAAAUGCCAUUUCCAGUACGAAAGGAUCGAAAUGACAAAGCCAAUACCAAAGGCACGCUUUAACAAAAAAAAUAAAUAAAUUAAAUCUCAAAAUUAUCAAACCACAAACCUAGAAAAGGUUAGUUAAGAAAACAACAACAUUUAAAUCUUA
rnacentral:rRNA from 1 species